UACGUAGGGUGCGAGCGUUAAUCGGAAUUACUGGGCGUAAAGCGUGCGCAGGCGGUCUGUUAAGACCGAUGUGAAAUCCCCGGGCUUAACCUGGGAACUGCAUUGGUGACUGGCAGGCUUUGAGUGUGGCAGAGGGAGGUAGAAUUCCACGUGUAGCAGUGAAAUGCGUAGAGAUGUGGAGGAAUACCGAUGGCGAAGGCAGCCUCCUGGGAUAACACUGACGCUCAUGCACGAAAGCGUGGGGAGCAAACAGG
rnacentral:rRNA from 1 species